rnacentral:rRNA from 1 species
UUAGGCCUUGACAUACUAAGAACUUUCCAGAGAUGGAUUGGUGCCUUCGGGAACUUAGAUACAGGUGCUGCAUGGCUGUCGUCAGCUCGUGUCGUGAGAUGUUGGGUUAAGUCCGCAACGAGCGCAACCCUUUUCCUUAUUUGCCAGCGGGUAAUGCCGGGAACUUUAAGGAUACUGCCAGUGACAAACUGGAGGAAGGCGGGGACGACGUCAAGUCAUCAUGGCCCUUACGGCCAGGGCUACACACGUGCUACAAUGGUCGGUACAAAGGGUUGCUACCUCGCGAGAGGAUGCUAAUCUCAAAAAGCCGAUCGUAGUCCGGAUCGCAGUCUGCAACUCGACUGCGUGAAGUCGGAAUCGCUAGUAAUCGCGGAUCAGAAUGCCGCGGUGAAUACGUUCCCGGGCCUUGUACACACCGCCCGUCACACCAUGGGAGUUUGUUGCACCAGAAGUAGGUAGUCUAACCGCAAGGAGGACGCUUACCACGGUGUGGCCGAUGACUGGGGUGAAGUCGUAACAAGGUAAGCGUAGAUGA